rnacentral:rRNA from 1 species
AAUAUUGGACAAUGGGCGAAAGCCUGUUCCAGCCAUGCCGCGUGUGUGAAGAAGGUCUUCGGAUUGUAAAGCACUUUAAGAUGGGAGGAAGGGCAGUAAGUUAAGACCUUGUUGUUUUGACGUUACCGACAGAAUAAGCACCGGCUAACUUCGUGCCAGCAGCCGCGGUAAUACGAAGGGUGCAAGCGUUAAUGGGAAUUACGGGGCGUAAAGCGCGCGUAGGUGGUUUGUUAAGUUGGAAGUGAUAGCCCCGGGCUCAACCUGGGAACUGCUUUCAUAACUGCUGAGCUAGAGUAGGGUAGAGGGUAGUGGAAUUUCCUGUGUAGCGGUGAAAUGCGUAGAUAUAGGAAGGAACACCAGUGGCGAAGGCGACUACCUGGACUGAUACUGACACUGAGGUGCGAAAGCGUGGGGAGCAAAC